UGCACCUCCCACUCUGUCUGCGGGGGGAGGGGGGGGGCUGGGCAGCCCCUCCUCUAUCCCCCCUCAUCGCUGCCAACGCCGAACCACUUCUGGUGGUGACAGGGCCAGGCACCCACGACACGGUGUGGAGGACAGAGCGAUGGAUCGCUGCUGACGUCGGCGGCCCGGUCCUGGGUGGGGUGGCGUCGGAGCGCCCCGCGACCGUGAAGAGGUCUGUGCCACACCCACCUGAUAGGCAGAGUGCCCGCGUGACUCGAGCGUGUGUCCCACCCGGCCCCUCGCAGGGCCGACGGCUGGUGUGGGGCGCCGGAGUGCCACCCCGGGGGAGAUGCACCCGGUGGCGACCGGCAUAGUGGGGUGGGUAGAGUUUUUAGGCGCCGGGGCCGUGCUGUCCGAUGAACGGGUCGGCGCAUUGCUGUGCCGGCGUGUGUCUACGGCUGCUCUGCACCGCGCGAUGGGCCCUGUGACAGACCGGGCGUAAAGUGGAGUCGAAUUCCUGUUCUACGGCAGAGCAAAUGGACACAUCAAUAAAGAUGUGCACUUCUGCGUGCUGGUGCGAGGCAUUGCAUGCGCACCACGGCGCCUUCCGCGGGCGUUCGGGGUUUUCACUGUUCUCCUCUUCUUUCACACACCUUGAACUCCUCUUUCUCUUCCUUCCGUCGAUUGCGUUGUCCGUGCCGCUUUCGCGCGACUCACAAUACCGACUUUGCGUAUUGCCUCUUUCUGCCGCUGCCGCGCCGUAUCGGGUGUGCGGCUGAGUCGCAG
rnacentral:misc_RNA from 1 species